rnacentral:rRNA from 1 species
CAGCAGCCGCGGGAACACGUAGGUCCCGAGCGUUGUCCGGAUUUAUUGGGCGUAAAGCGAGCGCAGGCGGUUAGAUAAGUCUGAAGUUAAAGGCUGUGGCUUAACCAUAGUACGCUUUGGAAACUGUUUAACUUGAGUGCAAGAGGGGAGAGUGGAAUUCCACGUGUAGCGGUGAAAUGCGUAGAUAUAUGGAGGAACACCGGUGGCGAAAGCGGCUCUCUGGCUUGUAACUGACGCUGAGGCUCGAAAGCGUGGGGAGCAAACAGGAUUAGAUACCCCCGUAGUCCCUGUCUCUUAUACC